UAACAGGAUUCCCCUAGUAACUGCGAGUGAAGCGGGAAAAGCUCAAAUUUAAAAUCUGGUAGUCUUUGGCUGCCCGAGUUGUAAUCUAGAGAAGUGUUAUCCGCGCUGGACCGUGUACAAGUCUCCUGGAAUGGAGCGUCAUAGAGGGUGAGAAUCCCGUCUUUGACACGGACUACCAGGGCUUUGUGAUGCGCUCUCAAAGAGUCGAGUUGUUUGGGAAUGCAGCUCUAAAUGGGUGGUAAAUUCCAUCUAAAGCUAAAUAUUGGCGAGAGACCGAUAGCGAACAAGUACCGUGAGGGAAAGAUGAAAAGAACUUUGGAAAGAGAGUUAAACAGUACGUGAAAUUGUUGAAAGGGAAACGCUUGAAGUCAGUCGCGUUGGCUUGGAAUCAGCCUUGCUUUUGCUUGGUGUAUUUCCUUGUUGACGGGUCAGCAUCAAUUUUGACCGGUGGAGAAAGGCCAGUUGAAUGUGGCCUCUUCGGAUGUGUUAUAGCUUCUGGUCAUAUACAUUGGUUGGGAUUGAGGACCUCAGCACGCCGAAAGGUCGGGGUUCGCCCACGUUCGUGCUUAGGAUGCUGGCAUAAUGGCUUUAAUCGACCCGUCUUGAAACACGGACCAAGGAGUCUAACAUGCCUGCGAGUGUUUGGGUGGAAAACCCGAGCGCGUAAUGAAAGUGAAAGUUGAGAUCCCUGUCGUGGGGAGCAUCGACGCCCGGACCAGACCUUUUGUGACGGAUCCGCGGUAGAGCAUGUAUGUUGGGACCCGAAAGAUGGUGAACUAUGCCUGAAUAGGGUGAAGCCAGAGGAAACUCUGGUGGAGGCUCGUAGCGAUUCUGACGUGCAAAUCGAUCGUCAAAUUUGGGUAUAGGGGCGA
rnacentral:rRNA from 1 species